UAUGCCUACAAAAUGGCUGCCAGGACAGUUGCAGCUAGAAGGGGAGGACGGAGAUGGAGGGGCAGAUUUCCAAGCCCUUGUCCUUUCUCCCACAACGUCUGCAGAUGCACUUUCAUUAUCCAAGAAAACAGUCUCAAAUUCUGUAGGCUGUAGGGAUCGGCGAGAAGACCCGUCCUGGCCAGAGAAGACAGCACAAAUUAUUCCAGCCUCAGAUGACCAGUGUCCAUGUAGUGCUCAGUCAUGUUCUCCAGACCUUGCAGAGCAAUCUCUCAGUACUCACCUGGGUUUCUCUCUGCUGUGAUGGAUCACCUGGCACAAGACGGAAACUGACAAUCUAUAGAGAAAGAAGUGAAAGGUUUGAGCUGCGGCUGUCAUGCUGGAUGUGACGUCUGACGUCUGUGGUUCCAGCUUACCUUAGAACUCCAUAUUUAUCUGCGAGUUGUAAUUAAAGCCUGUUUUUGAUAACGUCACAAACUUAA